rnacentral:rRNA from 1 species
GAUGAACGCUGGCGGCGUGCUUAAUACAUGCAAGUCGAACGGACAGGCCCUGCUCUUGUGUGUUUCUUGUUUGGCGCACGGGUGAGUAUCACGUGUGUAACCUGCCCUUGACUUUGGGAUAACUUCAGGAAACUGGGGCUAAUACCGGAUAGGAGCUUCUGCUGCAUGGUGGGGAAAGGAAAGAUUCGGCGGUUGGGGAUGGACUGGCGGCUUCUCAGCUUGUUGGGGGGGUAGUGACUUACCAAGGCUUUGACGGGUAGCCGGCCUGAGAGGGGGACCGGGGACAUGGGGACUGAGGGACGCCGCAGACGCCUACGGGAGGCAGCAGGCGGAAGUAUGACGGAGCAAGCGGACGCCAGAGGCGGCAACCUCGCGAGCGUGAUGACGUGCUACGAGGGAUAAACAGAUGUCGACGGAAACGAGGCGUGAGUGACGGUAAUUAAUAAAGAAGCAACGGCUAACUACGUG